rnacentral:rRNA from 1 species
UAAUCAUUUGUCUUUUAAUUGAAGGCUAGUAUGAAUGGUUGGACGAAAAAUAUACUUUCUUUAUUUUAUAUAAAUAAAUUAAUUUUUUAGUUAAAAAGCUAAGAUUUUUUUAUAGGACGAGAAGACCCUAUAGAACUUUAUUUUCUACAUAUAUAUAUUUUAUAGAUUUUUAAAAUAUUAUAUAUUANUAGUUAAUUUAAUUGGGGUGAUUGAAAAAAUUAUAUAACUUUUUCUAUUUCUAUCAUUUAUUUAUGAUGUUUUUGAUCCUUUAAUAUGGAAAAUAAGAUUAAGUUACCUUAGGGAUAACAGCGUUAUUUUUUUGGA